UACGAAGGGGGCGAGCGUUGUUCGGAAUCACUGGGCGUAAAGGGCGCGGUAGGCGGCCCUCUUAGUCGCGUUGUGAAAGCCCCGGGCUCAACCUGGGAACCGGCGCGCGAAACGGGAGGGCUGGAGUUCGGGAGAGGAGAGUGGAAUUCCCAGUGGUAGAGGUGAAAUUCGUAGAUAUUGGGAAGAACACCGGUGGCGAAGGCGGCUCUCUGGACCGAGGACUGACCGCUGAGGCGGCGAAAGCGUGGG
rnacentral:rRNA from 1 species